UUAAAUGCUUUCCCGAUAUUUCUGCUAAAACGUACGGCAUCAAUGGGGAACCAUUAUUCCGCCGGCCGGCACCACAGACGAAACCGUACCGAUAGCGAAACGGUGGUUUCACAUCCGGACUAUAAGUACGGACCUUCACCAUACAACGCACCACAAAUUCCGGCGAACUCUAACAAAAUGGCUGCACUCUCACUUCCGUACGCGAACGUCGACUGUAACUUACGAGCUCUCGCUGGACAAGCUGAGGGAUUUGGCCGCUUAGCCGUCGGUGGACUUCAUGGAUCAGUCUAUCAUGUUACUACUCUGUCAGAUGAUGGCCCUGGGUCACUUCGUUAUGGAUGUCGCAAAAAAGAACCUUUGUGGAUUGUUUUUGAUAUUUCGGGCACCAUUGGGCUCUCGUCUUAUUUGAAUGUAUCUUCUUAUAAGACAGUCGAUGGGCGGGGACAAAGGAUUAAGCUCACUGGCAAGGGACUGAGGCUGAAAGAAUGUGAACACGUAAUUAUAUGCAAUUUAGAGUUUGAAGGAGGUAGAGGACCUGAUGUAGAUGGCAUUCAAAUCAAACCUAAUUCAAAGCAUAUAUGGAUUGAUCGUUGUAGUCUUAAGGAUUAUGAUGAUGGGCUGAUUGAUAUUACCCGUGAGAGCACAGAUAUCACUAUUUCGCGUUGUCACUUUUCAAACCAUGAUAAGACGAUGCUUAUUGGAGCAGACCCUUCUCACCAUGGUGACCGAUGUAUGCGUGUUACCAUUCACCAUUGUUUCUUUGACGGAACUAGGCAACGACAUCCUCGUGUUAGGUUUGCCAAAGUACAUCUGUAUAACAAUUACACCAGAAAUUGGGGGAUUUAUGCGGUCUGUGCCAGUGUUGAAUCACAGAUAUACUCCCAGUGCAAUAUAUAUGAAGCAGCACAGAAAAAAGUGGCUUUUAAAUAUCUAACUGAAAAGGCUGGUGACAAAGAAGAGGCAUGUAGUGGGUGCAUUAUAUCUGAAGGAGACCUAUUUAUAGCUGGAACUCAGGCUGGCUUAUUGACACAGAGUAGUUGCUCAUUCCACCCAAGCCAACACUACCAAAAAUGGACAAUACAGCCUGCAACUAUGGAGCUUAAACAUGUUCUCCAGCAUUUUACAGGAUGGCAACCUGUUGCAUGCCCUGCUGAUCACCCACCAUCCCACUAGUUUCAUCCUCAAGCAGGUGUUCGGUUGGUGUGAUCUAAUCUAAAAAGGUGUCCCUUUAGACUUGGACUUCAGCAUGUUUCCUUAUGCAAGUGUGAGCGUGGGAAUGCUUAACUUCAGAGAGGGAUGUAUCAUACUGAGAGUUUUAGCAAAGGCAUGGGAAAAGUGUGAUCUAGAGGCGUUGAAGGAUGGGCAUCUUCUUUUAGUUGGAUCGUCGUCUAGAACUUAUUUUCAGUAUCGUAAUAAAAUCUCAGUAGUAGGCUUUAUUUCCGCUGCAGCUCUUGAGACCAUGUCGUAUUGUAGACUUUAUUUUGACUUUUUGGUUGUUAUAUCGACUUUUAUGAAAUGUCUAAAAAAUUCUCAAUAUGAGACAUUGUAUUUU